rnacentral:rRNA from 1 species
CCCUUAGAUGUUCUGGGCCGCACGCGCGCUACACUGACGAUGGCAACGAGUUUUUCCUUCGCCGAAAGGUGUGGGUAAUCUUUUGAAACAUCGUCGUGCUGGGGAUAGAUCAUUGCAAUUUUUGAUCUUGAACGAGGAAUUCCUAGUAAGCGCGAGUCAUCAGCUCGCGUUGAUUACGUCCCUGCCCUUUGUACACACCGCCCGUCGCUACUACCGAUUGAAUGGUUUAGUGAGGAUUCCUGAUUGGCGCCGCCGCCCCGGCAACGGAGCAGCGGACUGCCGAAAAGUUGUUCAAACUUGAUCAUUGAGAGGAAGUAAAAGUCGUAACA